CUCUAGAAGUAUAUAAACAUGAAAACAUUGGUCCUGUCCUUGCUGGUGGCUGUGGCUGUGGCUGAGGGACCGUUCAUUUCCUACGACGCCCCUGCAGACAACACAUCCUCGCCCAUUCAGCAGAUCCCCAUCAUCCGCGACGACCGAGUUCAACUUGGGGAUGGCAUUGUCAGGCAUAUAUACCUUCACCUUCCAAGAUGGUCAAGUCUUCGAAAUUCAGUUCGUCGCAAACGCUAAUGGUUACCAACCUCAGCCGACCUUCCUGCCCGUCGUCCCUGCCUUGCCCUACCCAAUCCCUGCCCACGCCCUCGAGCAGAUCGAGCGUGGCCGACUUGAACUUGAAGCUCGUGCCCGCGAAGAAUAACGUCAGUCAUCAAGCCAGGGACAAGCCAACACUUCUCGUCACUACGGUCAAUCUCAGUGAAGAGGUCUCUAGUGAACUUCGAAUCUUCUAUAUUUAUUGUAUUGUUUCGCAUAAAUAUAAAAAGUUAACGAUACUUUUAAACAUUCCACUGAAACUACGGAUGUCUAACUAGUUUAAGCUAAAACCAACACAUGGGUAAGAAGUUUGGACUAAAUUAUUAUUGAAGAACCUUUCUUUGAUCUGUUAUUUGAUAUAACAGAACACUAACAGUGUUUAGCUGGAUGACACUGCUGUGCUUAAUAUUUAAAUAUCUGUAACCUUACCUAAAUCAAAUCCUAAAUAGGAAUAUAGAUUAUGAAUAUUAUAGUUAAAUGAAUUACUCUUGGUCAGUGAAUAGCAGCUUUUUAAAAAUAAUUAUGAAGAUCUCAGUCUAUACGAAAAUGACUAUGUUGUUGUAGUUUGUGGAAUGGUUUUACGAUAGUCAUGUAAACAAUGCAUGUGUAUGAGGAAUGAUUACAGAUUACGAAAUGCAGAAAGCAAAAUAGAAAACCUUAUUAUAUC